rnacentral:rRNA from 1 species
UCCGUAGGUGAACCUGCGGAAGGAUCAUUACAAAUCUAAUUGUAGCUCUCAUCUUGAGAGUUUACAUAAGCACGGUGCCGCAAGGUGCCGAUGUUUACGCUUGUUUGUUUGACAGAGUUAUAUGUUGGCUUAAAAAUGACAACUUUUAACAAUGGAUCUCUUGGCUCUUGCAACGAUGAAGAACGCAGUAAAGUGCGAAAUGUAGUGCGAUUUGCAUGAAUCUGUGAGUCAUCUAAUCUUUGAACGCAACUUGCGCCUCUUUGAGGCAUGUUUGUUUGAGUGCCGCAAAACCCCUUUUACACUAACGUGUAAGUGUUGACCUCUGCCGAUAGGCUCUGGUUUAAAUGCUGUCAGUUAAUGGUACUAGUUGACUAGACCGAGUGCUAAGCAUUCUUGGUUAAAUCAACGAGGAUCAUCAUAUACAUUUUAUUUUGGCCUCAAAUCAAGCAAGAUUACCCGCUGAACUUAA